GCUCACCCCUCUAUAAGAACCCUUUGUACAACCUUUCCUUUCAAUCUCUUUUCUCUUUCUUUCCUUAAUCAAUUCAUAAACUGUAUUAGAAUAGUACUAAGUCUGUUAAUCGGUAGUACGCCCGUUACAUAAUCAAUGACAUGCUGCAAAGAUAUCAUAUUCAUGAGCUUAAUUCUUAUUAGGCCACUAGGACAAAAGAGCUCAAUCACCACCAGCGCCGUGGUGGUAUAGAGCAUCUGUUAGUAGUUAACUUAUGCAAUCAACUCCCUACCGCUCGCCCACUUAUGUGCUCACACAUGCUCACGAAUAUUGCUUUCCUCAUGAUUCCACUCCAUAAUCAUGUAGUCCCCAAUGAUUCCUUUGUGUACAGGGUAGCUAAUUCUUAACAUUCUUCCACCCCACACCCCACUAUUGCACAACCUUAGAUAUUCUUCUGUUCUGAUUCCUCUUCUAUAAAAACCCCUUUGUAUGAUCUUUCCCUUUGAUCUUUUUUCUCCUUCUUUUCUUAAUCAAUUUGUACUCUAUAUUAUGAUAGUGCUUAGUUUGUUAAUUGAUAGUACACC
rnacentral:sRNA from 1 species